GAUGAACGCUGGCGGCGUGCCUAAUACAUGCAAGUCGAGCGAAGAGGGGAAGGGUGAGUAACACGUGGAAACCCUCCUAUAAGACUGGGAUAAAUUAGGGAAACAGGAGCUAAACCGGAUACUUAACGAUGGACCCGCGCUGCAUUGGCUAGUUGGUAGGGUAACGGCUUACAAAGGCAACGAUGCAUAGCCGACCUGAGAGGUUGAGCGGCCACACUGGACCUGAGCCACGGCCCAGACUCCUAGGGGAGGCAGAAGUGGGAAAUUUUCCGCAAGGGGCGAAAGCCUGACGGAGCAACGCGGCGGGGGUGAUGAAGGUCUUCGGAUCGUAAAACUCUGUUAUUAGGGAGGCGGUACCUAAACAGAAAGCCACGGCUAACUACGUGCCAGCAGCCGCGGUAAUAC
rnacentral:rRNA from 1 species